rnacentral:rRNA from 1 species
AUACAGGUGGCUGCAUGGCUGUCGUCAGCUCGUGUCGUGAGAUGUUGGGUUAAGUCCCGCAACGAGCGCAACCCUUGUUCCUUAUUUGCCAGCAGUUGUAUAUUGGCGCGAGCACCUAUUAGAGGAUUAGCUGGCGCAUGAUGAAAACCGCGUGGNAGGAGUGGCGGAGGUAACGAUCAUCAAUCAUUCNAUUCAGUGCCCUCUCAUUAACGAUCCAGGGUACUACACAGUCGUUGACUAACAAGUGGUCUGAGUAACAAGAGGGUUCGACUACCCUACGACGAGUGAGAGAUUGACAUAUACUCUCAAAAACGCGCCGACUUCGUAUUCUCCGGCAUGUUAGGACUUGCUGACACAUCCUACGAUGCUCCAGAUAGAAUGUCAGAGAUACUUCGUACUAUAAUAUACUCGGCGU